CACAAUCAUUUAUUCUUAUGCAGUUUGGCAGUCAACUGUGUUUCAGUUGACCUAGGAUUAGUUUGGGUGAUUCCUCUUCAGAUUGUGGAUCAAUUACCUCUGCACUAGGCUGUGAUUCGUUUUAUUUUGGGUUCUAGAUUGAAGGGAAUGUGUCUACCUAAGGCACAUGCCUCUCAGAAUAUAAAACCAGAUCGCAAGUCUAGCGACAAGAGAAAUAAUUCCUAAUAUUUCAAAGUCAGCUAAAACUUCAUUUUCCAGUGCCCCCUGGUCUAAUUCAGAAUUUUAAAUCAUCUCUGAUUUUAUCUUCCACCAUCCUCAUAACUUCAUCUUCUCACAGCAUGAGUUUUACCCAGUUAAAACCUACAACAUAUAAUACAUGUACAGGGGCAUAGAGACAAUUAAUUUUUCCUGCUGUUGAAUCAAGACAUUUCCUUGUUCUAUUCAACAACAACUAGUUAGGCUCAAUAAGAUCACCUUACACAGUUCUACCUCACUCAGCUUCUGAGACUCACCUGAUAUCUCAGGUAUGUCUUGAUUAGCAGCAUGAAAACGGACUAAUACACUCUGGCAGCAGAAGGAAGAGUAAAAAGGACUUUGUCUUUCAACAUGGCUACCAGCUCAGGCACAGAACAUAAAAAACCAAGCAGAGUCCUAAAUUCCCCAUUCUAGGCCAUAGCUCCCAGACAAUUCUAGACCCACCCUGGCCAAAAGGGAAUCAACUGCCCUGAAGGUGACAUGAUGUUGAAUUUUGUCAAUAGAGGACUCUGCAGGGGCACUGUGGAUAGAAGGGUCUACUCUUCUUCACUCCAGGACACGUCUCUGGACAUGCUCUUCUAGUCCCUGACAACCAACAGUAUAUCACAGCCAGCAGUGAAAGACUGCCUAAAAUAUAAUCUACUUCUCAGUAGGCAAUUUCUCCCAGUACCUUUGAAGAAAGCUUUUAAGAUAUUUUCUUUAUACAGCAUCUAGGGAAACUUCAUACUCUGGCGGGCCAUAGUUGAGAACCUUCGGCAUCUCAGCCCUUGGCAGCCUUCAACAGGCCACAGCCUUCCACUUGAAAAGGCUGUGCAACCCUAGGAAGGGUCUCUCAGCUUCCCUUCUCACACUCUGACUGACCUCUGCAUGCUACUGCCACCUAUCAAGCAGGCUCAUCAAAAAAUCUGCAAGGGAAUGCAAACUUUGUGGCUGGACUCCCCAGGCCUUCCGAUUGACAUUUAUGAGGACUAUUCCCUCCUCAACCUGUUCCCUGUUGUCAUACAAAAACAAGAGCGUGAGUCCCACUCUGUCACUCAGGAUGUUGUGCAGUGGCAUCAUCCUGACACACUGCACCCUCAGCAUCCCUGACUCAAGCAGUCCUCCUGCCUCAGCCUCCCAAUUAGCUGGGACUACAGAUUCAAGAAAAAAGUGUUUUAGAUGAAUGGCAUGACCCUCAAAACAAGAAGAUGUGCUGCUUAAUUAAUUGUCUGCAAAACAGUGGAAAAAUAGAUGAAAUAAAAGAUGGAAAGCCUCCUUUCUCUCUCUGAUGUUGUAUUCUUUCUGUUCUAUUAAAGUAUGAGAGAAUGAAUAGCCUAUAGAUAAUACUGCUAAAGGGAAAAUUGUCCUCAAAUAAAAUUUACAUUAAACAAUAAAGGUGUGUGGUAAGGAGAAAGACAAUUAUUUUUCUUAAAUAUUCUCUGAUACUUUCCCCAGCAUUCUAUCCUAGACUCUGUU